rnacentral:rRNA from 1 species
AUUGAACGCUGGCGGCAUGCCUUACACAUGCAAGUCGAACGGCAGCACGGGAGCAAUCCUGGUGGCGAGUGGCGAACGGGUGAGUAAUAUAUCGGAACGUGCCCGGUCGUGGGGAUAACGUAGCGAAAGCUACGCUAAUACCGCAUACGAUCUACGGAUGAAAGCGGGGGAUCGCAAGACCUCGCGCGAUUGGAGCGGCCGAUAUCAGAUUAGGUAGUUGGUGAGGUAAAGGCUCACCAAGCCGACGAUCUGUAGCUGGUCUGAGAGGACGACCAGCCACACUGGGACUGAGACACGGCCCAGACUCCUACGGGAGGCAGCAGUGGGGAAUUUUGGACAAUGGGCGCAAGCCUGAUCCAGCAAUGCCGCGUGCAGGAUGAGGGCCU